AGAGUUUGAUCCUGGCUCAGGAUAAACGCUGGCGGCAUGCCUAAUACAUGCAAGUCGAACGGAGGUGCUUGCACCUCAGUGGCGAACGGGUGAGUAACACGUAUCUAAUCUACCUUCUAGCGGGGGAUAACUUUUGGAAACGAAAGGUAAUACCGCAUGUGGAUGUUAUUAUCGCAUGAGAAAACAUUCAAAGAUCCGUUUGGAUCACUAGAAGAUGAGGAUGCGGCGUAUUAGCUAGUAGGCGGGGUAAAGGCCCACCUAGGCGAUGAUACGUAGCCGAACUGAGAGGUUGAUCGGCCACAUUGGGACUGAGAUACGGCCCAGACUCCUACGGGAGGCAGCAGUAGGGAAUUUUUCACAAUGGACGAAAGUCUGAUGAAGCAAUGCCGCGUGAGUGAUGACGGCCUUCGGGUUGUAAAGCUCUGUUGUAAGGGAAGAAAACAUAGGAGAGGAAAUGCUCUUAUCUUGACGGUACCUUACCAGAAAGCCACGGCUAACUAUGUGCCAGCAGCCGCGGUAAUACAUAGGUGGCAAGCGUUAUCCGGAUUUAUUGGGCGUAUAGGGUGCGUAGGCGGUUUCGCAAGUUUGAGGUUAAAGCCCGGAGCUCAACUCCGGUUCGCCUUGAAAACUGCGGGACUAGAAUAUCAGAGAGGUAAGCGGAAUUCCAUGUGUAGCGGUAAAAUGCGUAGAUAUAUGGAAGAACACCAGUGGCGAAAGCGGCUUACUGGCUGAUUAUUGACGCUGAGGCACGAAAGCGUGGGGAGCAAAUAGGAUUAGAUACCCUAGUAGUCCACGCCGUAAACGUUGAGUACUAAGUAUUGGGGAUUACCUCAGUGCUGCAGCUAACGCAUUAAGUACUCCGCCUGAGUAGUAUGCUCGCAAGAGUGAAACUCAAAGGAAUUGACGGGGACCCGCACAAGUGGUGGAGCAUGUGGUUUAAUUCGAAGCAACACGAAGAACCUUACCAGGGCUUGACAUACAGUGCAAAGCUACAGAGAUGUAGUGGAGGUUAACAUUGAUACAGGUGGUGCAUGGUUGUCGUCAGUUCGUGCCGUGAGGUGUUGGGUUAAGUCCCGCAACGAACGCAACCCUUGUCGUUAGUUACUAACAUUAAGUUGAGGACUCUAACGAGACUGCUAGUGUAAGCUAGAGGAAGGUGGGGAUGACGUCAAAUCAUCAUGCCCCUUAUGUCCUGGGCUACACACGUGCUACAAUGGCCGAUACAAAGAGUCGCAAUCUCGCGAGGGGGAGCUAAUCUCAAAAAGUCGGUCUCAGUUCGGAUUGAAGUCUGCAACUCGACUUCAUGAAGCCGGAAUCACUAGUAAUCGCGAAUCAGCUAUGUCGCGGUGAAUACGUUCUCGGGUCUUGUACACACCGCCCGUCAAACCACGAGAGUUGGUAAUACCAGAAGUACGUUUCCUAACCGUAAGGAAGGCGCGUCCCAAGGUAGGACUAGCGAUUGGGGUUAAGUCGUAACAAGGUAUCCGUACGGGAACGUGCGGAUGGAUCACCU
rnacentral:rRNA from 2 species